UAAUACGGAGGGGGCGAGCGUUGUUCGGAAUCACUGGGUGUAAAGGGUGCGUAGGCGGUGCGUUAAGUCUGAUGUGAAAGCCCUGGGCUCAACUCAGGAACUGCAUUGGAGACUGGCGGGCUAGAGUACCGGAGAGGGAAGCGGAAUUCCUAAUGUAGCGGUGAAAUGCGUAGAUAUUAGGAGGAACACCGGUGGCGAAGGCGGCUUCCUGGCCGAGUACUGACGCUGAGGCACGAAAGCGUGGGGAGCGAACGGGAUUAGAUACCCCGGUAGUCCACGCUGUAAACGAUGGGUGCUAGGUGUUGGAGGUAUCGACCCCUUCAGUGCCGUAGCUAACGCAUUAAGCACCCCACCUGGGGAGUACGUUCGCAAGAAUG
rnacentral:rRNA from 1 species